rnacentral:ncRNA from 2 species
UUCUUAUCAAGAGAGGUGGAGGGACUGGCCCUGUGAAACCCAACAACCGGCAUUCUCAUUUGAAUGCAAAGGUGUUAAUUCCUGCAGAAUUAUGUCUGAGAGAUAAGAA